rnacentral:lncRNA from 1 species
UACACCAGGUGCUGAAGGCUGAGACGGUGAGAGCAUGAGUGAUAAGAUGCUCUCUCCCCUUGCUCUCUUUCUGAAGAUGACAAACUCCAUCUUUUUUCUAAAGUCUUACUAAAGUGGUGGGAAUCCAAAUUACACAGCACCAAAAUAUGUUGUCAGCGGCAAAUCCAUACGGGUCUGCAACAACAAUUCUUGUGUCCUCAGGAGAGAAUCUGACUAAGGGGCAUAAGGCAGAAGAGACCAAGACAAGUUUUAGAGCAGGAGUGAAGGUGACAAUGUAUAUAGUAUAAUGAAGGAUGUUACUAAAUGACAUGUGCUGCACACCUGAGUCUUGUGGAGGCUGAAGAAAAGGAGGCUUCUGUAGAAAAUAGGAACUCAGAUCUGAACCAAUGAUGCUGGGUUCACCCACAUCUCCAAAGCCAGGAGUUAAUGCCCAGUUCUUACCUGGAUUUUUAAUGGGGGAUUUGCCAGCUCCGGUGACUCCACAACCUCGAUCAAUUAGUGGCCCUUCAGUAGGAGUAAUGGAAAUGAGAUCACCUUUACUUGCAGGUGGGUCACCACCACAACCAGUUGUACCAGCUCAUAAAGAUAAAAGUGGCGCUCCACCAGUUAGAAGUAU